rnacentral:rRNA from 1 species
AGCGAACGCUGGCGGCAGGCCUAACACAUGCAAGUCGAACGGACCCUUCGGGGUUAGUGGCGGACGGGUGAGUAACACGUGGGAACGUGCCUUUAGGUUCGGAAUAGCUCCUGGAAACGGGUGGUAAUGCCGAAUGUGCCCUUCGGGGGAAAGAUUUAUCGCCUUUAGAGCGGCCCGCGUCUGAUUAGCUAGUUGGUGAGGUAAUGGCUCACCAAGGCGACGAUCAGUAGCUGGUCUGAGAGGAUGACCAGCCACACUGGGACUGAGACACGGCCCAGACUCCUACGGGAGGCAGCAGUGGGGAAUCUUGCGCUAUGGGCGAAAGCCUGACGCAGCCAUGCCGCGUGAAUGAUGAAGGUCUUAGGAUUGUAAAAUUCUUUCACCGGGGACGAUAAUGACGGUACCCGGAGAAGAAGCCCCGGCUAACUUCGUGCCAGCCGCGCAGUAA